UAAUUGUCAAAAUUUUCAUCAUACAUAAGCAAAAUAUUUUUAAUAAAACAAAAUUACGUAUUUUGUUUAUAACUUCCAAUUAAGAGUUUAUAUUUCGUAUUUACCCGACAACUGACCAGCCGUGGUGUAUAUGAGCGACAGAAACUUAAAAAUAUUAAUUAUGUUUCAGCACGAAACAAGGGAUACCUAACAUCUGGAUAUAUUGUAAAACAUUUAAGAAUAUUAUCUUAACAAAAAGAUAAAAGAUGAUGUCACGCUAAAAGUGAUUCUCUCAGCAAAUGGGCUACGGAUUCAAAGUAAACAGGAUGGAUAGGUGUUUUAAAUUUUCAAAAUGUUACUAAAGGUAACCAAGCCAUCAGUGGUAGUUGUCAAGAAUGAGGAA